rnacentral:rRNA from 1 species
AAAAGAGAGUUAAAAAGUACGUGAAAUUGUUGAAAGGGAAGUGUUUAUGACCAGACUUGGGCUUGGUUAAUCAUCUGGGGUUCUCCCCAGUGCACUUUUCCAGUCCAGGCCAGCAUCAGUUUUCGCCGGGGGAUAAAGGCUUCGGGAAUGUGGCUCNCUCCGGGGAGUGUUAUAGCCCGUUGCGUAAUACCCUGGCGGGGACUGAGGUUCGCGCAUCUGCAAGGAUGCUGGCGUAAUGG